rnacentral:lncRNA from 1 species
AAGAACACUGUAAUUAGAGACUGCCGCAGGGUGUGUCAUAAUUGUUUACGCUGUUUAUGAAAAUUACCAAUGUGAAAGACCAGCAGAAACAUAUAGCUCAACCUAGUUUAAGAUGAGACCAUUCCUAUUGGGACCAGGUAAUUCCAUUUAGAAAGACAGAUUAUUAGACUUGGAAGGGACUAGUGAUUCUAGCCCAUCGCCUCUGUUUUUAUGGAUGAAGCCAUAGGCCCAGAGAGGCAGAGUAACUUACUCAGGGUUACACAGCUUGUUACAGCUAGUUAGUUCGAGAGUUCGGACCUGAAUCUUAGCCUUCAGCUACGUGGUGGUUAUCCUUUUCUAUACCAUAGUUAGCUUCUUUCAGGAGUGCUCAAGAUUACUCUAAAAAAAGAUUCUUAAGUCAAAACAAGACAAAGGAACCUCCAAGAUCCCUCAGAACUUGCUCAUACUGAAGCCUCUUAAGGAAUCUCCCAUGCAAAAACCUUAAUUUACUAUACAGAUCAAUUAGGGUGUAAUUUGUAAUUAUUCAUAAUACAAAAUAAUUAUCUGAUUUACAAAGGACUCCUCUAAAUAGUAGCUCUUUAUUUGUGCUUUACAGAUGCUAACUCAUUAACAUACUGGCUAGGCUGGGUGGUAGAGAGAACUAAGUAAAAGGUUAGGAGACACUACCUGUUGAAGAUCAUUUAGAAUGGAGAUAAGAGGGUAUGAAAUAAUGUUUGUCAAAGAAAGAUUAUCUGAUUUAUAGAGAGAUACCAGUCCACAUGGCAAGGAAUUGUGGCUGCAUCUGCCCACAGCCAUGUGAACAAGCCAUUAUGAAGCGAGUCCUCCAGCCCCAGUCAAACCUUCAGAUAAUGGCAGCCCCAGUCUAAGUCUUGACUGCAACCUCCUGAAAGACUCUGGGCCAGAGCCACCAGUGAGACAAUAAAUGCUGAUUUAAACUGCUAAAUGUUGGGGUAAUUUGUUAGGCAGUAAUAGAUAACUAAUACAAUCCUCCUUCACAUUUGCAGUUUGCCUAUGUGAUAACUUAGGUCUUCACGAUGGCCCAGAGUAAGACGACGCAGGAGGACCCUUCUAGUCAUUUAAUUAUUGCUUGACCAGAACUGUGCCUUGUAAGAAAUGCUUGCUGUUUGGAAACUUGUGAAGACCUGCAUCCCUUUGUAUCUCAAAUAAAGACAGAGGGUUGAAGAUAGCAAGUGCAUCUCUGGGCAACUACUGCAGCUGGCUGUGGGGGACUGAUGCAUACUGUUGAGGCUGAUCUUACUCUGUCUCCUCUCUAUGUUGGACAACAUCAUUGUCACUAUCAACAUGACUUUGUCCCUUCUUGCUGUCUCCCUUUUAUCCCUCCAAAUGCUCAAUCGAAAUACCUGAACUACCCGAAAGUUAAAUGCACCACUGCAUCUAUUCAGGUUCAAGAACAGUAUUUCA